CAGUAGCCGCGGGAAUACAGAGGGUGCGAGCGUUAAUCGGAUUUACUGGGCGUAAAGCGCACGCAGGCGGUCUGACAAGUCAGAUGUGAAAUCCCCGGGCUUAACCUGGGAACUGCAUUUGAAACUGUCAGGCUGGAGUCUUGUAGAGGGGGGUAGAAUUCCAGGUGUAGCGGUGAAAUGCGUAGAGAUCUGGAGGAAUACCGGUGGCGAAGGCGGCCCCCUGGACAAAGACUGACGCUCAGGUGCGAAAGCGUGGGGAGCAAACAGGAUUAGAUACCCCUGUAGUCCCUGUCUCUUAUAC
rnacentral:rRNA from 1 species